AUAUACACAAAUAUAUAAGCUUUCCCCAUGAAAUAUUGAGUUUUUAAACACUGGCAUGUUUUUCCCCCCUUGCAGUAUAGUGGUAGAUUGGAGGAUCUUUUCCAUUUAUUGUAUUUGGCUCUUUCAGCACAAGUAAUCCUGAUAUCUUCAUUUUUUUUCCUUCUGUUUGAUUAAAAACUGCAUGUGUGUACAAUGAUCUUUUGGCAUACUUCCAUUGCAUUAACAGUGAAAUUUCCUUUUAUACAUGACCACUGUUUCAGACCUGUACUGCUGCUAUAACAGUUAACCUUUCUGUUCUUAAUUUGAUAAUACUUGAUUUCCAAGACUGUUUCGGCAUAACUAAUUUUAAACAGUUUUCAGAUAGUGAAUAUGAGUAGUCUAAUAAGAACAGUUUUUUUUCCAUGUGAAGCAACUCUUUCAAUGUAUAUAAUGUUAGUGUGUUUCUUUCUAAAUUUAGGAUAGAAAAGUGAAUAGUGUGCAAAAAGUAUAGCUACAUUGCAUCUGCCAUUGAAACAUAAAUGGGGUAUGGAAACGUUCAAGCUUUUUUUUUUUUCUUUAUGCAGUAUAGAUAAGCUUUGUUUUGUAAAUGCACAAGUCCAAUCAUUGAAUCAACUUAAUUUUUUUAUGUACUUGAAGUCAUUUUAUUACUCUUUAACACUCAUGCUGAAGUUCUGAUAUUUUGUUGAAAUCCAUUGUUUUACUCUUUGCAUAUUUGUUGGCUCUUUGCAUAUUAAUAUAUUAGACUACAUGCAAAUACAGUCUGUCUUGCCAUUGUCUGUUGAAGUGCAGGUUUGAUCCAGCCAGUAUAGAACUAGCUCUGUAGGGGUGAGGAGGACUGUGCUGUGUAUCAUCCUUGAUUGUGUUCCUUCAAGGAGCAUUGCACUGUAAGUACAUCAGAAUGACAAAUUGAUGAACUGCAACAGUAUCUUUUUGUCAAUGUUCCACAUAAUGCAAAUGCCAUACUUUGUGUGAAUAUUAUGUUGGAAUACAGUGCUGAUAUCUUGGAAAACCAUAACUGCUUCUUAAUUUAACAUAGAAUAAUACAUAGUUCUGUAUUUUUUUUAAAGUGAGCUUAAUGGGUAAGUAUUUUUUAUAUGCUUUAGCUAUAGCUAAAGAAAACUGAUACUUAACAAAGUUGAAUAGUAUUAUUCACUGGUGCUCCUAAAAUAUUGUUUUUCAGUGUAAAAUAUGCAUAUCUUCUAUAUUUAAUAUGAAAGUCUUGAAAUGUAUCAGACAGAAGGGGAUUUCAGUUUGCAAAUAAUGAGCAAUGUAGCAAUUUUAACACAUUUCAUAAAUAUAUAUUUUGUCAUUGGUGGGGAGCACCAUUUGUUGUUUUGAAUAUACUUUAAAGGAAGAGGUACAAGGACAUAAAUGUUGAGAUUACCUACAGGAUGGAAAUAGCAGUACAGUUCAUUGUAGAUAUUUUGAAAUGUUUUUGAUUGUUUUAUAUAACCUAGAGUGACUUCCCUUACCCUUAUUUAGAUCUGGGUAUAUAGUUCUAGUAUGAAGUUUAAUAGUUAAGGAGUUAGCUAUUUGUUAUCUUUAAGAGUAGGGUAUUGACGUGAACAAUUGCAGUAUUUUGCAUGAUACUGUUUUAUAGAUGACCUUUUAGGAAAGUGGUGCAUUUAUUAAUUGAACUGAAGAAGUAGUUCAGUUGAAUUCAGUAUCAUAACUCACAAAUUGGAGGCUGUUGAUUUUGAUUCAUUUAAGGUUUAAAAUCUUUAUUAAUUGCAAACAGUGCAAUUAUUUAUACUUCACAGUGCCUUCCCAGACCUUCCACCUUAGGUUCUGCUGCAAAAAGCACCAGUGCUGAAGAUGCUGCAAGCACCAAAUCAUAGCUCAUAAAAUCAGGUCCUGAGAUAGUUACCCAUAAAGAGGAAUCCUUUGAGUGUAUGCCAUUGGUGAGCCGAUGAGCAUGGACCAUAGAAGGGCUCAAUGUAGAAGAAACUACCCGUGUGUAAAAAGAAGAUUGGCUUAAAAUGGCUACUGUGAUGGGAACAGUGUCUUAGGGAGAUGCAGCUUGGACUUGAGGUAAAUUGAAUACUUUACAAACUGUGGUUUAGAGUUUGCUUUAAUGACAUUGUAUGUAAAAGGUCACAUGAUUGCUGUAAUUUUGUAUUCAUUAUGGUUUCCUCAAUAAAUGUACAUUGAUGAAUAUUA
rnacentral:sRNA from 1 species